CUCGCCAAGUGUUUUGAA
rnacentral:siRNA from 1 species